rnacentral:rRNA from 1 species
GAUGAACGCUGACAGAAUGCUUAACACAUGCAAGUCAACUUGAACUUCGGUUUGGGUGGCGGACGGGUGAGUAACGCGUAAAGAACUUGCCUCACAGAUAGGGACAACAUUUGGAAACGAAUGCUAAUACCUGAUAUUAUGAUUAUAUGGCAUCGUAUAAUUAUGAAAGCUAUAUGCGCUGUGAGAGAGCUUUGCGUCCCAUUAGCUAGUUGGAGAGGUAACGGCUCACCAAGGCGAUGAUGGGUAGCCGGCCUGAGAGGGUGAUCGGCCACAAGGGGACUGAGACACGGCCCUUACUCCUACGGGAGGCAGCAGUGGGGAAUAUUUGACAAUGGACCAAGAGUCUGAUCCAGCAAUUCUGUGUGCACGAUGAAGUUUUUCGGAAUGUAAAGUGCUUUCAGUUGGGAAGAAAAAAAUGACGGUACCAACAGAAGAAGUGACGGCUAAAUACGUG